UACGGAGGGUGCGAGCGUUGUUCGGAAUUAUUGGGCGUAAAGCGCACGUAGGCGGCCCGUUAAGUCUCAUGGUGAAAGGCCGGGGCUCAACCCCGAGCAAGCCGGGGAUACUGGGGGGCUGGAGACAGGCAGAGGCCAGCGGAAUUCCGGGUGUAGCGGUGGAAUGCGUAGAGAUCCGGAAGAACACCGGAGGCGAAGGCGGCUGGCUGGGCCUGAUCUGACGCUGAGGUGCGAAAGCGUGGGGAGCGAACAGG
rnacentral:rRNA from 1 species